rnacentral:rRNA from 1 species
UGGGGAAUAUUGGACAAUGGGGGGAACCCUGAUCCAGCCAUGCCGCGUGUGUGAAGAAGGCCUUAUGGUUGUAAAGCACUUUAAGCGAGGAGGAGGCUACUAGUAUUAAUACUACUGGAUAGUGGACGUUACUCGCAGAAUAAGCACCGGCUAACUCUGUGCCAGCAGCCGCGGUAAUACAGAGGGUGCGAGCGUUAAUCGGAUUUACUGGGCGUAAAGCGUGCGUAGGCGGCCAUUUAAGUCAAAUGUGAAAUCCCCGAGCUUAACUUGGGAAUUGCAUUCGAUACUGGAUGGCUAGAGUAUGGGAGAGGAUGGUAGAAUUCCAGGUGUAGCGGUGAAAUGCGUAGAGAUCUGGAGGAAUACCGAUGGCGAAGGCAGCCAUCUGGCCUAAUACUGACGCUGAGGUACGAAAGCAUGGGGAGCAAACAGGAUUAGAUACCCUGGUAGUCCAUGCCGUAAACGAUGUCUACUAGCCGUUGGGGCCUUUGAGGCUUUAGUGGCGCGGCUAACGCGAUAAGUAGACCGCCUGGGGAGUACGGUCGCAAGACUAAAA